GGCAACAGCCAAUCGGGUUUGUUGUUGAGCUGAGAGCUCCAAUGCUAGAGCGUAGCAGGCAUUGCAAGCUUCGAGGGAGAAAACAAUGAACAAAUUGAACAAAGUUGAAACCUUUUUCUGUUUUUUGUUUCAUUUUUACCUUGUGGUGAAGUUGAGUUUUUGUUUUUCCACCUGCGUGGCCUGGAAAACAUUUUUUUUUUUUUUUUUUAAAGGGGACUUGGUGAGUGUUAAAAUAAUAUUUGUUUGAAUUAAUUUGAUAUUUAAUAUAUUUAUUUUCGGUAAAUUCCUUGAAACGGUAGACUAUGACAGUGAAUUUAUGUUAUUUUAUGUAUUUAUUUUCAAGUUGAAGAAGUUUUGGCGCGUUAAAGUGAAAGCUUCCCCAGACAUUCCAUCCGCCAUUACAUGCAACGUAACUUAAGAGUUAUGUUAACAUGAAACUGCCGUAUUUUGUAUUCAUUCCUAUAGACUGCCUUUUUAUUUUAAUUUACUUAUUUGAGUGUAUUUUAUGUUGGUAUGAUAGACCAUUAAGAUUGGGCCGAAAAAACGGACUCCUCAAUCCGGGAUCCUUGUGCGGGACAGAACAAGAUGGCGAGCCAACCCGGAACCAUUUGAUGUAGCAAAGGACCAAGCGCCCUCUGCUGGACACUUGACAACCCCUCUUAUCCUUUGGAACUGCUUGUUUGGGUAGAUUGCCGUUCCUCAAAGUACUGGAGAGAUUCCCGAAAGCAUCAACAGGAACGACUUGGAGACGAAUGCCUCAGAGCUUCACAGCAGGAAACUCCUGGACCGGGAAAGGCUGCCAGCCAUCAGGGAAUCCAACCCUUGAGCUUCUUCUCUGUGAUUGGCAGGGAGAUGACACAACGUCAAUCAAAGAGGGUGCAAGGAUUCUUUAUCCAUCAGUUCAUGCAAAGCAGUGGCAUCAACAAGCUGGUGCAGUAAUUUGUCUAAAUUUGGCACAGACAGUGCAACUUUCUUCUUUUUUUUUGCUUUACUUCUUGGUUUUGGAGAUUGUAUUUUAUGAGUUGAUAAAAUUUGUCAAUUUGUAAAAUUGCAUGACAUUUUAUUACAGUAUUACUACAGUAGUUAAUUCUGUCCAACUGGGGCUUCGUGAUAACAUGCUUAGCUCAGAUAUUAGCUAAUGCUACGGUCACAAAUACAACUGCCACCGCAAGAAGGGGAGGCAUCGACACAAUGUUCAAGAUUCAUGCAGAUCUUUUGUUUAGAAAGUCGUUGGUGUGGUCAUGAAUGUAUAUGGUGGCAGCCAGAUGGUUUUCAGGGAUGAGAACGACUUAUUAAAUGUUGUUCACCAUGGUUUCUGUUAAUAAUCUUUUGAUGGAUUCACUAUUUUUCAGCAGACUUACCCCUUAAGUACAUAAUUGUUUCAUAAAAAUAAACUGCAUCCACUGCUGGUUGGAUCUAAAGGUGGUUUUGAAAUAAGAAAUAACUCUCAGCAGCCUAAAAGACACUUGCGCAUAAUGAUAAAACUACAUAACCUUAAUAUCUUAAAUUAUUUGGUUACUCUUCUUGUUCUUGUUGCCAGUUUAGAUUUUUUUUGUCCAAGAUUUCUGACAUCACAGGUCCAGAAAAUACAUGCCAAGACAAGACAAGGUCAUUUCAGGGCUGUUAGGGUGAGCAUAUGUUGUAAAAUUCACCACACUGCUAAAAAUCUUAAGUGUUUAUCCUUUUAACUGGGUUUAUUAUCAAUACUGAACAUAAAUAGUGUUUCAGUUUUUGCCAAUUAGUCAAAAAAUAUCAUCUUUCUUGAAGGAUCUCUACAGUUUUCGCCAGGCAUUUCUUAAUUUAACUUUGAAAAUGACUUGCUCUCCAAUCUGUGUGUCCUCCACUGUCAGACUAACCAAAUACUGAAAUGAAUCGAUACAUCUUCAAACUUUGUUCUUCCCCGAUGGGGUUUUUGAAUUUGUUCAGCAGAUAUGAUGUCAUUGUCAUUGAUCUCCUUCAUGUUCGUGCUAAUAUAAAAUCCAUAAAUCGCUACAAAUGGAUUUAGUUAGUGGUGGAAAUAAUUGUAAGACAUUCUGUCAGCUGUCCCCCACAUCACUCCUCCAAUACUUCUUGAGUGGAUGUCUUAUGGAUCAAAUGAUGGAUUCGGCAGGAAGAGUUUGGAAAGUGCAGAAAACUUUUUUUUUGUAGAAAAAAAAGGGAAAUUUUGAGGUAAAUGUACACCCAUUUUUCUUAAGAUUGCUGACACUCUGCAGUUGUUUUUGCAUGUAAAAAAGGAUGCAUUACUUAGUCAUAAAGCAGCUAAAUAUAAGCAGAUUAAAGUUUGAGUGUUUGUCAGAACAUUUCCCAGAAGAAGCUGUCAGUGUAACCCACUUUGAAGUGUGUCUCUUGUGCAAUCAUUUCAUCUCAUUACACAGUGAACUUCAACAAAAUGGGUUUUAAAUUGUUUUCUAAUUUCAUUCUUAUUUUGACGUUAGUCUUCUUUUGGUCAUGGAUAUUGGAUCUUUUGCACAGUUGGGUUUAAUCACUUGUUAUUCUGCAAUCUGUUUAUGAAUGAAGGUAAAGUUGUUGUUUUGUUGGAAAGUUUCAGGGAGAUGUUGAAGGGACGUGUACCUGAAAUGCUCGUUCGGGGACUUUGGGAGCUCUUAUUUCAAAAUAAAAGCUUAAAAAACAGUGUCAGUGGACUGUUGUUUAAUACCAAAGGGAUUUAAGGAUCACUAUAAAUUGAGAUCACAUUAUAUAAGGUUGGGAUGAGAAUGGAUUGCUGUUAAUUUAUGGCAAAGCUAUCUCAAUGAGAUCCAAGGUAUUUCAAAAUUAAAAUCGGAAAUGUCAUUUUUUGGCUUAACAUGUUGUGUUUUUAUUUUUUCUAAAGUAGACACUCCACAUUCACUGGACAGAAGGUCCAGGUUGUUGUCAACAACCCUACCUUGGAAAUUUGAUACUUUUUCCACUGUGUUUUAUUUGUCUUUACAGCUCAUUUUUUCAAAUGCAAUCACAUCCUUUUGGAAAUCUUUAUAGGAAGUUCCUAAGUCAAAUAUCUGAGCCCACUGACCUAAAAGGUAAGAUGUUCUUAGAAAAACAUAAAUGUGGUGCAAUAUAGAAUUAGAUUUGCAUAAAAAAACCUUGAGGUGACAUUGUUUUUUUUUCAGAUACUUUCAUACUUUUACCAGUCAUAUUUAUAAUUUACAUAUUUUUUCCCACCAGAUAAGAGAGAACAUCAUUAAUUUCGCAAACAUGUUCAUUAAUAAACCCCUGCUCAUAUUCCCACCACAAGGUAAAAAUGUUUUGUUAUAUUUCCAAUUAUUUUUCCAUCUACAAAGGAAAGCAUGAACAUACAGGAAAAACAGAGUUGAUUUACUGUGUUGUUAACGCAUAUAAGCAAAAAAGAAAAUGUUAGAAUGUAUUAAAAGACUUCCUACCUUGCAAGAAUUUCUAUUACAAAAUAAAUGUAAGUUUUCCAUUAUUCUGUUGAGACAGUUCAUUCCUGUCUUUUUAAGUUUUCUAUGUCUUUGAGUUAAAAAGCAACAGAAAAAAUCAGUACUUUGGUACCAGAAGUAAAGCAUUAUAAAUAUAUACAUUUAGAAGUAUGCAUGUAUCCUUUGAAAGUUUAAUAAGAAAGAGAUAUAAAAGCUAAUUUAUAGGAGCAAAGAUACUUUUAUGUCUUGAACAAGGAGAAACAAACUAACAAGCUGUAGUUUUUUUCUUAGAACAGAAGGCGCUUUCAGUUUGCCAUGGUCAAGUCAAACUCCCAAAGGGUGCAAAACUAACCAAUGGGAAAGAAAUAAGUGCAAUUUAUUUGAGAAUGACAAAUGUUACACCUUUUCCUUGCCUCAGUAAUGGAUUUUUCCUUGUAGCUCUGACAACUCGCCACUGACCUUGACAGUGAGCAGCUACUCCUGGGGGUCAGCUUCUCCAUCUGUCUCUUUAAGCCAUGGCUGCAUCGAGUAAAUGGUUAAAGUAAGGUUUUUUUUUCUUUUUUGGUGGGGUAUUUGUUGUAAGACUCAAUCAGCUCAAAUUGUUGAUGCAGACAUUAAAAAACGUAUUUAUUACACAAAAAACAAUUUAGCAUUAUUGGGGUAUUUCAACUGUAACAGUGCUUAAAUAAAUUUAAAAUAGUCACACAUCAUGUCAAACCCUCAUUUUAUUAUGUACAAACUGUUACAAAGACACUACAAACACAAAAAUGCAAUUUUACCCCACCAACUCUAGAAAUAAGU